rnacentral:rRNA from 1 species
GAUGAACGCUGGCGGCGUGCCUAAUACAUGCAAGUCGAGCGAACAGACGAGGAGCUUGCUCCUCUGACGUUAGCGGCGGACGGGUGAGUAACACGUGGAUAACCUACCUAUAAGACUGGGAUAACUUCGGGAAACCGGAGCUAAUACCGGAUAAUAUAUUGAACCGCAUGGUUCAAUAGUGAAAGACGGUUUUGCUGUCACUUAUAGAUGGAUCCGCGCCGCAUUAGCUAGUUGGUAAGGUAACGGCUUACCAAGGCAACGAUGCGUAGCCGACCUGAGAGGGUGAUCGGCCACACUGGAACUGAGACACGGUCCAGACUCCUACGGGAGGCAGCAGUAGGGAAUCUUCCGAAAUGGGCGAAAGCCUGACGGAGCAACGCCGCGUGAGUGAUGAAGGUCUUCGGAUCGUAAAACUCUGUUAUUAGGGAAGAACAAAUGUGUAAGUAACUAUGCACGUCUGGACGGUACCUAAUCAGAAAGCCACGGCGAACUACGU